rnacentral:rRNA from 1 species
AGUUAACGUCAAGGUUCAAGGGUAUUAACCUUAAACUUUUCCUCACUGCUGAAAGUGCUUUACAACCCUCAGGCCUUCUUCACACACGCGGCAUUGCUGGAUCAGGCUUUCGCCCAUUGUCCAAUAUUCCCCA